AUUGAUUGGUGCUUGCAUCAUGAUUUACAUUUGAGUGAGUGGCGAACUGGUGAGUAACACGUGGGAAACCUGCCCAGAAGCGGGGGAUAACACCUGGAAACAGAUGCUAAUACCGCAUAACAACUUGGACCGCAUGGUCCGAGCUUGAAAGAUGGCUUCGGCUAUCACUUUUGGAUGGUCCCGCGGCGUAUUAGCUAGAUGGUGGGGUAACGGCUCACCAUGGCAAUGAUACGUAGCCGACCUGAGAGGGUAAUCGGCCACAUUGGGACUGAGACACGGCCCAAACUCCUACGGGAGGCAGCAGUAGGGAAUCUUCCACAAUGGACGAAAGUCUGAUGGAGCAACGCCGCGUGAGUGAAGAAGGGUUUCGGCUCGUAAAACUCUGUUGUUAAAGAAGAACAUAUCUGAGAGUAACUGUUCAGGUAUUGACGGUAUUUAACCAGAAAGCCACGGCUAACUACGUGCCAGCAGCCGCGGUAAUACGUAGGUGGCAAGCGUUGUCCGGAUUUAUUGGGCGUAAAGCGAGCGCAGGCGGUUUUUUAAGUCUGAUGUGAAAGCCUUCGGCUCAACCGAAGAAGUGCAUCGGAAACUGGGAAACUUGAGUGCAGAAGAGGACAGUGGAACUCCAUGUGUAGCGGUGAAAUGCGUAGAUAUAUGGAAGAACACCAGUGGCGAAGGCGGCUGUCUGGUCUGUAACUGACGCUGAGGCUCGAAAGUAUGGGUAGCAAACAGGAUUAGAUACCCUGGUAGUCCAUACCGUAAACGAUGAAUGCUAAGUGUUGGAGGGUUUCCGCCCUUCAGUGCUGCAGCUAACGCAUUAAGCAUUCCGCCUGGGGAGUACGGCCGCAAGGCUGAAACUCAAAGGAAUUGACGGGGGCCCGCACAAGCGGUGGAGCAUGUGGUUUAAUUCGAAGCUACGCGAAGAACCUUACCAGGUCUUGACAUACUAUGCAAAUCUAAGAGAUUAGACGUUCCCUUCGGGGACAUGGAUACAGGUGGUGCAUGGUUGUCGUCAGCUCGUGUCGUGAGAUGUUGGGUUAAGUCCCGCAACGAGCGCAACCCUUAUUAUCAGUUGCCAGCAUUAAGUUGGGCACUCUGGUGAGACUGCCGGUGACAAACCGGAGGAAGGUGGGGAUGACGUCAAAUCAUCAUGCCCCUUAUGACCUGGGCUACACACGUGCUACAAUGGAUGGUACAACGAGUUGCGAACUCGCGAGAGUAAGCUAAUCUCUUAAAGCCAUUCUCAGUUCGGAUUGUAGGCUGCAACUCGCCUACAUGAAGUCGGAAUCGCUAGUAAUCGCGGAUCAGCAUGCCGCGGUGAAUACGUUCCCGGGCCUUGUACACACCGCCCGU
rnacentral:rRNA from 2 species